rnacentral:rRNA from 1 species
GAUGAACGCUAGCGACAGGCUUAACACAUGCAAGUCGAGGGGCAGCACGGGAGUAGCAAUACAACUGGUGGCGACCGGCGCACGGGUGAGUAACGCGUAUGCAACCUACCUAUCAGAAGGGAAUAACCCGGCGAAAGUCGGACUAAUACCGCAUAAAACAGGGGCACCGCAUGGUGAUAUUUGUUAAAGAAAUUCGCUGAUAGAUGGGCAUGCGUUACAUUAGGUAGUUGGUGAGGUAACGGCUCACCAAGCCGACGAUGGAUAGGGGAACUGAGAGGUUGGUCCCCCACACUGGUACUGAGACACGGACCAGACUCCUACGGGAGGCAGCAGUGAGGAAUAUUGGUCAAUGGGCGAGAGCCUGAACCAGCCAAGUCGCGUGAAGGAAGAAGGAUCUAUGGUUCGUAAACUUCUUUUGCAGGGGAAUAAAGUGCAGGACGUGUCCUGUUUUGUAUGUACCCUGAGAAUAAGGAUCGGCUAACUCCGUGCCAGCCGCCGCGGUAA